UCUCCGUUGGUGAACCAGCGGAGGGAUCAUUACUGAGUGUAAAAACUCCCAAACCCUAUGCAAACCUACCAAAGUUGCUUCGGCGGCCUAUAAUCGCCCCGGGCGCCCCCAAAGCGCCCCGGACCCAGGCGACCGCCGGAGGCCCCAAACUCCUGAAUUACAGUGGAUAUUCUGAGUGGCAUAAGCAAAUAAAUCAAAACUUUCAGCAACGGAUCUCUUGGUUCUG
rnacentral:misc_RNA from 1 species